rnacentral:rRNA from 1 species
AUUGAACGCUGGCGGCAGGCCUAACACAUGCAAGUCGAGCGGAUGAAGGUAGCUUGCUACCUGAUUCAGCGGCGGACGGGUGAGUAAUGCCUAGGAAUCUGCCUGGUAGUGGGGGACAACGUUUCGAAAGGAACGCUAAUACCGCAUACGUCCUACGGGAGAAAGUGGGGGAUCUUCGGACCUCACGCUAUCAGAUGAGCCUAGGUACGAUUAGCUAGUUGGUGGGGUAAAGGCUCACCAAGGCGACGAUCGUUAACUGGUCUGAGAGGAUGAUCAGUCACACUGGAACUGAGACACGGUCCAGACUCCUACGGGAGGCAGCAGUGGGGAAUAUUGGACAGUGGGCGAAAGCCUGAUUCAGCCAUGCCGCGUGUGUGAAGAAGGUCUUCGGAUUGUAAAGCACUUUAAGUUGGGAGGAAGGGCAGUAAGUUAAUACCUUGCUGUUUUGACGUUACCGACAGAAUAAGCACCGGCUAACUUCGUGCCAGCAGCCGCGGUAACAC